AGUGAACGCUGGCGGUAGGCCUAACACAUGCAAGUCGAACGGCAGCACAGUAAGAGCUUGCUCUUACGGGUGGCGAGUGGCGGACGGGUGAGGAAUACAUCGGAAUCUACUUUUUCGUGGGGGAUAACGUAGGGAAACUUACGCUAAUACCGCAUACGACCUACGGGUGAAAGCAGGGGAUCUUCGGACCUUGCGCGAUUGAAUGAGCCGAUGUCGGAUUAGCUAGUUGGCGGGGUAAAGGCCCACCAAGGCGACGAUCCGUAGCUGGUCUGAGAGGAUGAUCAGCCACACUGGAACUGAGACACGGUACAGACUCCUACGGGAGGCAGCAGUGGGGAAUAUUGGACAAUGGGCGCAAGCCUGAUCCAGCCAUACCGCGUGGGUGAAGAAGGCCUUCGGGUUGUAAAGCCCUUUUGUUGGGAAAGAAAAGCAGCAGGUUAAUACCCCGCUGCUCUGACGGUACCCAAAGAAUAAGCACCGGCUAACUUCGUG
rnacentral:rRNA from 1 species